rnacentral:lncRNA from 1 species
CUUUUAUGUUUGAGAGUAGAUGUUGUAUAGGGUGAGGAUGAGAGUGCUUGUACUUAUAUUUUGGAGGUUGUAAAGGAUGUAAUUAAAUGUAUUAAGUCAAUGAAUGUAAUAGAUAGCAUCUUCUCUCUUUAUGUACUUGUAUCUUGCUCUCGUCUUGGUCGCACUGGUGGUGCACCUUGAUCGUGUAUUUAUGAAUUGAUUUCUGGGUAAAUUCUUAUACAUGAUCCGUUGGUUAGCCUUGGACGGACAGGGGAGGUCCUGUCCGUUCGGCGUCUGUUCGACGCGCCCGGGGCC